rnacentral:tRNA from 1 species
GUUAAACGAGCACCUCCCUUCUAAGGAGGUGGUCGAAGGUUCGAAUCCUUC